GGACUACAGGGGUUUCUAAUCCGUUUUGCUCCCCACGCUUUCAUGCCUCAAUGUCAGUAACAGAAUAGUUAACUGCCUUCGCCUUAUUGGUGUUCUUCCAUAUAUCGUCACAUUUUACCGCUCCACAUGGAGUUCCGUUAACCUCUCCUGAACUCGAGCAUGACAGUAUUACCAGCUUCCACGAGGUUGAGCCCCGAUUUACCACUGAUAACUUAUCACGCCAUCUACGCAUCCUUUACGCCCAAUAAUUCCGGAUAACGUUCGCAACCUAUGUCUUACCGCGGCUGCUGGCAC
rnacentral:rRNA from 1 species